AAAUACUUUAGGAUUACGUCACCAUUUAUAUAACAUCUGGCAGUGACUUCUCUGAAAAAGCAAGGUGCUUUUUUUCUUUUUUUUUUUUAAUUCUUCCCAAAGACAGUUUCUUUCUGCAGGAAGAAAGGAGGAACUGUUACAUUUUGCAUGCAAGAAAAGCUACUUCCUUAAGGUACCUGAAAAUGUCAACUGAAUACGAGGCUGCUGAAGACUCAAAUCCUCAAUGUGACCAAAGAGGAAGGGGAUGGGGGGAAAGUAAAAAGCAUUUAUUAAGCACCACAGGUACUGUAUGCUAGGCACUAUGCUAAGACUUGUAAAAAUGUUAUCUCAUUUGAUUGAUAAUGGAGAUUUUUAAAGGGAUGUAAUUGUGUAUUUGUUGUAUAUAGUCAUCAGUGUAGCGGUAGCCUAUUUUUAACAUUUGGAAGUGUGGUGAGGGAGGCUACUUCUGACAUGCAGAUCUCUUCCCCAGUGGUGUAUGCCUCUUAAAUCUCAUUGGCAGCAUGCCAAUACUCUCUUUCCUUCAAAAAUAAUAAAAUUUAAUACAUGACCUUUUGCCA
rnacentral:lncRNA from 1 species